CCUACGGGCGGCAGCAGUGAGGAAUAUUGGUCAAUGGUCGGGAGACUGAACCAGCCAAGCCGCGUGAGGGAGGAAGGUACAGAGUAUCGUAAACCUCUUUUGUCAGGGAACAAAGGCGGGGACGUGUCCCCGGAUGAGUGUACCUGAAGAAAAAGCAUCGGCUAACUCCGUGCCAGCAGCCGCGGUAAUACGGAGGUCUCAAGCGUUGUUCGGAAUCACUGGGGUUAAAGGGUGCGUAGGCUGUUUCGUAAGUCGGGUGUGAAAGGCGCGGGCUCAACCCGCGGAGGGCACAGGAUACUGGCGGACUAGAGUAAUGGGGGGGGAACCGGAAUUCUCGGUGUAGCAGUGAAAUGCGUAGAUAUCGAGAGGAACACUCGUGGCGAAGGCGGGUUCCUGGACAUUAACUGACGCUGAGGCACGAAGGCCAGGGGAGCGAAAGGGAUUAGAUACCCUGGUAGUC
rnacentral:rRNA from 1 species